rnacentral:rRNA from 1 species
AUACGUAGGUGGCAAGCGUUGUCCGGAUUUAUUGGGCGUAAAGCGAGCGCAGGCGGUUUUUUAAGUCUGAUGUGAAAGCCUUCGGCUCAACCGAAGAAGUGCAUCGGAAACUGGGAAACUUGAGUGCAGAACCGAGGACAGUGGAACUCCGUGUGUAGCGGUGAAAUGCGUAGAUAUAUGGAAGAACACCAGUGGCGAAGGCGGCUGCCUGGUCUGUAACUGACGCUGAGGCUCGAAAGUAUGGGUAGC